AAGUCGUAACAAGGUUUCCGUAGGUGAACCUGCGGAAGGAUCAUUAACACUCCAAAAACUUCUCAUACUCCCUUCUCACGGGGGGGGGGUUAUGAAACCCUAUUCACACUUUCACGAACCCCGGCGGAAAUGAUACAGAUUUUGUCUUACUUCGGUGAGAGGCUGUUCAUUUCUUGCUACUACUUUUGUCCAUUUUUUUUAUUCUUUAACCCCAAUCAUUCUAUUAUUAUUCGUCUGACUGGAAACGGAGUUUCGUGCUCCUUUUCCGUUGCUCUUGUUUUGCUCUAACCAGCACAAGGCAAUGAAAAAAAACAAAAACAAAAAACAAAAAAACAACUCUUAGCAACGGAUAUCUUGGUUCUC
rnacentral:misc_RNA from 1 species